rnacentral:rRNA from 1 species
CCUACGGGAGGCAGCAGUGAGGAAUAUUGGUCAAUGGACGCAAGUCUGAACCAGCCAAGUAGCGUGAAGGAUGACUGCCCUAUGGGUUUUAAACUUCUUUUAUAGGGGAGUAAAACGAGGCACGUCUGCCUUUUUGCGUGUACUUUAUGAAUGAGUAUCGGCUAACUCCGUGCCCGCAGCCGCGGUAAUACGGAGGAUCCGAGCGUUAUCAGGAGUUAUUGGGUUUACAGGGAGCGUAGAUGGGAUGUUAAGUCAGUUGUGAAAGUUUGCGGCUCAACCGUAAAAUUGCAAUUGAGACUGGCAGUCUUGAGUACAGGUGAGGUAGGCGGAAUUCGUGGUGUAGCGGUGAAAUGCUUAGAUAUCACGAAGAACCCCGAUUGCGAAGGCAGCUUACUAAACUGUGACUGACACUGAUGCUCGAAAGUGUGGGUAUCAAACAGGAUUAGAUACCCCUGUAGUC